CUACGUGCCAGCAGCCGCGGUAAUACGUAGGUCCCGAGCGUUGUCCGGAUUUAUUGGGCGUAAAGCGAGCGCAGGCGGUUAGAUAAGUCUGAAGUUAAAGGCUGUGGCUUAACCAUAGUACGCUUUGGAAACUGUUUAACUUGAGUGCAAGAGGGGAGAGUGGAAUUCCAUGUGUAGCGGUGAAAUGCGUAGAUAUAUGGAGGAACACCGGUGGCGAAAGCGGCUCUCUGGCUUGUAACUGACGCUGAGGCUCGAAAGCGUGGGGAGCAAACAGGAUUAGAUACCCUGGUAGUCCACGCCGUAAACGAUGAGUGCUAGGUGUUAGACCCUUUCCGGGGUUUAGUGCCGCAGCUAACGCAUUAAGCACUCCGCCUGGGGAGUACGACCGCAAGGUUGAAACUCAAAGGAAUUGACGGGGGCCCGCACAAGCGGUGGAGCAUGUGGUUUAAUUCGAUGCAACGCGAAGAACCUUACCUACUCU
rnacentral:rRNA from 1 species